UGGGGAAUAUUGCACAAUGGGGGAAACCCUGAUGCAGCGACGCCGCGUGAGCGAUGAAGGCUUUCGAGUCGUAAAGCUCUGUCCUAUGGGAAGAUAAUGACGGUACCAUAGAAGAAAGCCCCGGCUAAUUACGUGCCAGCAGCCGCGGUAAUACGUAAGGGGCGAGCGUUGUCCGGAAUUAUUGGGCGUAAAGAGUGCGUAGGCGGCAAAUUAAGUCAGAUGUGAAAACUAAGGGCUCAACCCAUAGAUUGCAUCUGAAACUGAUAUGCUUGAGUCAAGGAGAGGAAAGUGGAAUUCCUAGUGUAGCGGUGGAAUGCGUAGAUAUUAGGAAGAAUACCGGUGGCGAAGGCGACUUUCUGGACUUGAAAUGACGCUGAGGCACGAAAGCGUGGGGAGCAAACAGG
rnacentral:rRNA from 1 species